AGGGGAGGCUGGGCAGCGUGCUGCCCACUGCAGGAAGGGGGAGCACCCCCACUGAUUGGGCUUUGUCUCUGGGGUACGAUGCCCUCCAGGGUAGGGUGCAGGGGGCCUGAGCACAGGCAAGGCUUUAUUUUAGGAACAGGUUGCCUGCUGAGGUGCGGGGAGGCAGGGAUGCUGAGCACAGAUAAGAAUGUGCUUCAGGAACCUGUUCCACCUCUAAAGGGUAGGAAGGAGGCUACAGUCUCAAGCACAAGACUGUCUCAGUAACAUGAGGUUGCUGCCUGUCUCUGAUGGGUAAAGAGACACAGCACUGAGAACAAACAUUUAUCUCAUGGCAAAGGCUGAUCAUCACUAUUUCUUCAUAUGUUGUUUCUUAUUUUGGGUGAUCUCUACAAGUCUGAAAAUAGCUUAUUAGAGGAGAAACUGUACAUCUUGUCAAGUAUCAGAGGGGUAGCCAUGUUAGUCUGGAUCUGUAAAAAGCGACAGAGUGUCCUGUGGCACCUUGUAGACUAACAGAUGUAUUGGAGCAUAAGCUUUCGUGGGUGAAUACCCACUUUGUCAGAUGCAAGUACGUCUUGAAUUUUUUGAUCCCAUCUUCUACCUUUCAAAAAUUAGAGGUUGGAGAAAAAGGGCCUGGCAUAGGCACAUAGUGUAUAUUUAACCAUAUAGGGUUGGGUCACUGCUCCAGCAAGUCUGAUUAUUAUUAAUUUGUAUUGUCAUAGCUUCUGGGAGCUGGUAAUCAGCACUUGUUACUUCAGAGGAAUGUAAAAAUAUACCAUCCCAAAAUUUACAUAGCUAAUAGCAUAGUAAAAUGUACAUUGGUAAAUAAAAUUAUCUUGAGCCCUACAGUGCACAGUUUAUACCUUGAAGCUUGAGGUUACACUCACCCUGUUUUAAUAUAUAUAAUGCCAUAUAUUUAUCAUAAUAACAUAGACAAAUAGUGGGAUAAUUUCCCCCCAAACACAUUCUCUGCAAUACAGAUAUGGACACAUAAACAUGUGUAUCAUGUUCUGUUCAAUCUUUUCAGAAGUUAUUACUAAGAAAAAAUAAAAGUGCAAACCCUGACUCUGAAGAUGUGUUAGCUGCAUCUGAUAGACACUUCCCUGUGCUCCCUCAUUUGGGAUGUUAUAAGUUAUCAGUGCCCACUUAGGUCUUUUUUUUUAUUUCUCAGUAGGGAAGUUUGAGAGUACUGUUUCAGGUUUUCCAGCUGUCACUGGCCUCGGGUUCUCCCCGUCUUUCUCUUCCAUAGUGUGCCCUGAAAUGCAACUGUCCCUGACAGUUCUGUGGAUUCUCUUCUCUCCUCUCCUCUCUCUUUUUUUUUUUUUUUUUUUUUUUUUUUUUUUUUAACUCACUUCCAUAAAAUCAUUUGGGUAUAAGAAAUCUCUAUGCCAACUAAUCAAGCCUUGCAAAACUUUUCUUCUCAAGUGUGAGUAAUGCAUUUUCAGUAUAGAUUUAAAAAAUAACUGUUUUUUAUCAUUAGUAUUAUGGUUUGAGUAAGUAGAUGUCCUGGGCUGGUAAGCUUUUAUGGUAAUUUUGCAAGACUUAUUCCUUUGACUUUUCUUCCCUCUUCCACCUAAUCAGGAAGGACUUAAUUAUUUCUCAAGCAUCUCUGAUAUUUUCAAGACUACAGAAGAUAUUAACAUCUUUAGUGAUGGCCAUUCUUUAACUCCUUGACAAUUUAUAACCUUGCAUGUCUACUUACAUAUAAAUAUUUUCCUAAAUUAACACACUUUGUUGUCUCUAGUUUUACUUCUGUUCUCGUUGAUUAAAGAGGAUGAUUGAGAUGAGAAUUAACUGUUCUCUUAAUAGCAUACCUGUACAUAUAUUGAUAUGAGUCUAGAACAAGACUAAGAUGAGACAUUAACAAUCCUCAUUCUUGCAUUCUUUCCUCAGAGCUUUGAUUUUGCUAAACUCCAUUGUUGCUCUCAGGUGAUAUGAACUCUGUCAAUCCAGUUUCUAACUUGUCUCCAUUUUUUUUCAAUCCUUCUUUGAGGAUGAAACAUUCACUAUAAAAGAUGUGAGGUAUGCUUGCCCACCUCAUCCCCAGAACAAACAUGUCAUCUCAAGAUUUCUUACUAGUUCAGUGAGUAUAACUGGAAAUCACUUCUGCCUUCUGUAUUGUAAGGCCACAUAAUGAGUUUAUUAAUGGGUUUCAAAGCUGUGCAUUCUGGAAAUUGUGGGUUUUAGCCUCGUUGAAAAUCUUGGUGCAUUUCAGAUCUGGGUUCUCAUUUUAAAGUGUCUUCACAAGAGCAGUCCCUACAGUCCAGCCUGAGUGAGCUUGAUCCAGAGGAAGGAACCUCUGCUGGAAAUGUGGCCUCGAGAUCUUUCCAUCCACACUAGUGGAGUGGCUCAGCCAGAUGAGAUGGAGAAGGAAGAGGAAGAAGGAUGACACGUUCCAAAAGAUCCUGCAAGCCUGUGGUGCUUCGGAUACCGAGCACAAGGCUUGGAGAAUCCCCUAGCAGAAUGAAUGGACAGGGAUAGUAUGAAGAAUAGAAAAGAACAGGAAAAGGAGAGACACAUCCAGCAGGAGAUGCUAGCACUUUUCAAGUAGCAGACAAACAUGCUGGAGGCUCUUGUUGACCUUCAGGUUCAACAGACCCGUGCUCUCCUCCCUCUGCAACCCAUAAAGAACUGCAUUCUGGGACCUACCUAUGCACCCCCACAUUGUGUCUGGGGCUGCUUCGGCUAUCCUUACCGCUCCACUCUGGGGGAGAGUACAGGCAAUCACAGCCGCCCGUACACUGACCUGUGAGAGAGACUGUCGAUGUAUGUGUUGUGAAUUGACUAUUCUUUCCCUAUAUUUAUAAAGUUUCAUUCAGUUAUAAAUAUGUCUGUUUACAUGA